AUAUCAAUCAAUCAGCAUCCGACCCAGAAACGCAGCGCUGGUCAGACACUUCACAUCCUAAACUCUGUUCCUGACCUACCAGAGCGAUGCUGCAGAUACAUCGCUGCAGACAUGCAGAGCAUUACAUAAAUCAAACAUACUGAAAAAGAAUACGCUGUAAGGUGAGAAGUUUAAAAAAUGAGCAUGACUAAGCUAAUCAGAAAUCAGGGUUUAGCCGUAUCCCAAUGAUUUCCCAUCGAUGCUAAACAGGUGACCUUUUAAUGGUAAAGAUGAGCGUAUACGGAGAAACUCGUGGAUCCAUCGUAGUCUUGCAUGACAGUAAAGCGAAGACUUUGCACAUGUUGUGCAUUUCACUGAAUUUAAAACAACCACAUGAUCCACGCGUGACCAGAGGAAACAAUCCCCUCCUCUGCGCUCGCCGCGUUCGGCAUCUAUAGAUCCAUUUUCCUCGCUGAUUGUUCGCGGUUAGCUGCGAUACGUGAUGCUGAACACAGCGUCCUGGGUUCCCACAAAACUUCUGUCAUUUAUAUUUCACUCACUGAUUGAUCAUUAUCACCCUCAACUAUUUUGUCUCCUUUAAUCUUCCUCUAAAUGAGACCUCCUUCACCACUUCUCAUUCCUCCCUUCCUUCCAUUUAUUACCCUUCUCUUAUUUCUUCACUCCUUUCCUCACUGUCUCUUUGGCUCCUAAUAUCCUUCUGCUCCAUCUUUCAUUGUUAACAUCUUCCUGUUUCCUUUUGUGCCUUCUUUCUCCUUCUUAACCUCAUUUCUUCUCCUCAUUCUUACCCUUUUCUUCUUUUUCUGUCUCUUUAAUUUGCCGUGCCAUCCUCUGCAUCGCUCUCUCCUUUCCUUUAUGCAUGUUCCUCCACGUAUAAGCCAUCAUCCAUCCUUUUGCUCCUCGUCAUUGCUUCCUGCCCAUUUCUCUUCUUACUUUCGCCAUUUUAACCCCAACAAUAAUUUGUCAUUUUUGUCUAUCGUUCAUCUUCGUCGUCCCGUCUUCUCGUCUCCUGCGUUCGUUCAUUUAUCUCCCAUUCAUCAUUCAGCCCAUUAACCUUUGCUUAUCAGCUAAUUAGUCUUCUUUCUGACACAAGCUGGGACUGCGUGUGUGCUGAAGGUGACCAUAUCGUCUUGGUACUGAGUCAAAACUUGAAAUAUGUUUUUAAACGUUAUACUGACUGUGCAACGAUGAGCAGCCUAGGGUCAAAGGUCAAACUAAACGUUCGACAUGUUAUACACAGAUUUUUGUAAGAAAAAUCAGAACUGGGUGUGACAUCACAACUGGACCAAUAGCUGACAUCUCUCUCUCUCUAUUAGUGAUUAUUAUUUAUCCCCCUUUCCUGCAGACAAACAGAGAAAUCUUAAUCAUAAAUAUUUACUAAAUGCCAUUAAUUUGGUGAAAAACUGAUGUAACGCAACUGACAUCGGCUCUGACUUCAGUAAAUGUCGUUUUAUUCUGUGCCGAUGUCAGUGGACAAGGCCAAUACCGAUCAAAACACGGGGCUCUAGUCCAGAUUUCCAUCUUCUGUGCGUCAAUGAAUCAGUGUUUACUAUGAAUUCUGCCCCAGCAUCGAUGUUUAAAACAACCAAAGCUAAUGGCGACAUUUUUCCUCCCUUUGAUCGUUAUGUAAAAACUGCAGCCUUUUAGCUUUUUCAGAUCUUUAAACAUUUAUCUCAUGAAAAAUUUAUGUGAUAAAUGUCAGAUUCUGACAUCAGUUUUAUUCUUUAACCAUAUCAGCAAACAUACAAAUAUUCUGCAGAUUUAUUCAUACUGGUAUGUACAACAGUUUCCUCCCAUCGGCAAAAGCAAACUAAACCUGUUUGUAAAAUGUAAACACUGUGAGUUUGGGUUGGAUGCUGAUAUUUUAACUUUGACUGUUGAGUUCUGAUUAUUUUUAAUGUUUAUUUUGGUUUUCUAGUUUUUCC
ensembl:lncRNA